rnacentral:rRNA from 1 species
UACGUAGGUGGCAAGCGUUAUCCGGAUUUAUUGGGCGUAAAGGGAACGCAGGCGGUCUUUUAAGUCUGAUGUGAAAGCCUUCGGCUUAACCGGAGUAGUGCAUAGGAAACUGGGAGACUUGAGUGCAGAAGAGGGGAGUGGAACUCCAUGUGUAGCGGUGAAAUGCGUAGAUAUAUGGAAGAACACCAGUGGCGAAAGCGGCUCUCUGGUCUGUAACUGACGCUGAGGUUCGAAAGCGUGGGUAGCAAACAGG